UGGGUUUAUUAGGAAGAUUUAAGGAGCUAACCCUGGAAAAUGCUGGUACGUCAUAUGUUGGGUGCAUAGUAAGGGCUCAAAACUGUUUGCUACUGAGCAAAGUGUUUGUCACUGAGUGCCAACUUUGUGCCAAGCACUUCACAUAAAGUCAUUCAUUUAAUCAGACACAACCAUGAUUGUCUCUACACAUCGGUCCUGUCCAGGGUCAUGACCUCACGACCUCACUGAUCUGGGAUUUGAAUCCAGGUCAGGAUGAUUCCGUGGUUGGGACUCCAUGGUUGAGUGGGUGGUUGGGUGGGCGGCAGAGGAAGGCACGCCAGCCCGCGGAGCCCCAGUGACUCAGAGCCGUGGCUCCCCUGGCCCGCCCUUUCCUCUGACUCAGCCCCAGUGAUUCCACAGGCACACUGGAAUUCAGGGCCCCAGGCAGAGUUCCUCCAUGGAGAUGCUGGUGGGUGGCUUGAGCUCCCAUGGCCACCCUUGGCUGUGUCCUGUGGCCCCCUGGGAGCUCCUCUCAGGUGCAGGGGGCUUGCCAGGGUGAGCAUCUCCCUCCAACCACCUUGUGGUGCAGAGGGGCAAACUGAGGCACAGAGAGGGGCAGGGACGGGGCUGAAUGGCACAGUCUCAGCGAUGGGAGCCAGGCUGGGUGACAGAGCCAGACCUUGUCUAAGAAAAACCUCCCAAACCAAACAAACAUCAUUAAGGCUGCAGAGUGGAGAACAUACCAUAGCCCAUAGCACUGUGGGUGGGAGUUUGUGGGGGCAUGUGUGGCUUGGACCAGUGGGGCUACAGGCAGUAGGACGCAGACUGGUUUGAAACAUGGAGGCAUGCCUUUU
rnacentral:lncRNA from 1 species